rnacentral:rRNA from 1 species
GAUGAACGCUGGCGGCGUGCCUAAUACAUGCAAGUCGAGCGAACAGACGAGGAGCUUGCUCCACUGACGUUAGCGGCGGACGGGUGAGUAACACGUGGAUAACCUACCUAUAAGACUGGGAUAACUUCGGGAAACCGGAGCUAAUACCGGAUAAUAUAUUGAACCGCAUGGUUCAAUAGUGAAAGACGGUUUUGCUGUCACUUAUAGAUGGAUCCGCGCCGCAUUAGCUAGUUGGUAAGGUAACGGCUUACCAAGGCAACGAUGCGUAGCCGACCUGAGAGGGUGAUCGGCCACACUGGAACUGAGACACGGUCCAGACUCCUACGGGAGGCAGCAGUAGGGAAUCUUCCGCGAUGGGCGAAAGCCUGACGGAGCAACGCCGCGUGAGUGAUGAAGGUCUUCGGAUCGUAAAACUCUGUUAUUAGGGAAGAACAAAUGUGUAAGUAACUAUGCACGUCUUGACGGUACCUAAUCAGAAAGCCACGGCUAACUACGUG